ensembl:lncRNA
UGUGUUCCAAUCCUGCUGCUCUAUGGUCUCCCUCUGUUCCAUCCCUGUGUUCCAAUCCUGUGUUCCAAUCCUGUGUUCCAAUCCUGCCGCUCUAUGGUGCGCUCCCUCUCUUUUCUCUUAUGUAAGCAGCACCAGAACAGAACUCAUCAUUCCCCCUCAUAGACUCAUCAGUGAGAGGACAGACAGACAGAACAGAACUCAUCAGUGAGACAGACAGACAGAAUAGAACUCAUCAGUGAGACAGACAGAACAGAACUCAUCAGUGAGACAGACAGACAGAAUAGAACUCAUGCAACAGACAGACAGAAUAGAACUCAUGCAGUGAGACAGACAGACAGACAGAAUAGAACUCAUCAGUGAGACAGACAGACAGAAUUGAACUCAUGCAGUGAGACAGACAGACAGACAGAAUAGAACUCAUGCAGUGAGAGGGCAGACAGACAGAGUGUGUCUCAGAGGAAUAUUCUUUAUGAAUA